rnacentral:rRNA from 1 species
AUGUUAAUUAGAGUUUAAUUAAUUAUUUGACCUGCUCACUGUAAAAUAAAGAGCUGCAGUAUUUUGACUGUACAAAGGUAGCAUAAUCAUUAGUCUUUUAAUUAAUGGCUGGAAUGAAAGGUUAGACGAAGUUUUACUUUCUAGGGCUUAGUUAUUGAAGUUUUCUGUUUUGUUAAAAGACAAAAAUAUUAUUAAAAGACAAAAAGACCCUAUAAAACUUUAUUAAAUUUUAUAUCAUUUUUGGGUUUAUAUUAUUAAGAUUUWAAUUUUAAUUUUAUUGGGGCGAUAAAUAUGAUUCUAUAUUAAGACAAACCAGAUAGGGGAAUUUUUAUUUGAACUAAAAGGUUGUUAUUAGAAUAAGUUACUUUAGGGAUAACAGCGUAAUGUUUUUAGAGAGUUCUUAUUGACAAAARUGUUUGCGA